CAGUUUGGAGGACAACAUGUAUUGGCUUUUUUUUUAUCAAAAUGUGAUUGUAGUUCGUUUUCAACCUUACCACGGUACUUAGGAGACGUAAUUUGUGUUUGAACAACGUCUUGUUCAUGAGUUAUUGAUCCGUGAAAUCCGAAUCUGCCAAUAUCGUUCUAACUUUACUCAACUAAAGAGAACAGGGGUUACUAGUUCAUCUCUCAGGAUGGAGACCAUGAGAGAUUUGGAUGAUGAGGAGGAGGACAAAUCUUCAGUGUCCAGAAAACCUCCAGAUUUGAGUAAUACACUUGGAGCAUCUGACACAAGACAGAGAGCAGAGUCUCCAGUCCCCAGCUGUCUGUCUCUG